rnacentral:rRNA from 1 species
GACGAACGCUGGCGGCGUGCUUAACACAUGCAAGUCGAACGGAAAGGCCCUGCUUUUGUGGGGUGCUCGAGUGGCGAACGGGUGUGUAACACGUGAGUAUCCUCCCCUUGACUUUGGGAUAACUCCAGGAAACUGGGGCUAUUACCGGAUAGGAGCUCUUGCUGCAUGGUGGGGGUUGGAAAGUUUCGGCGGUUGGGGAUGGACUCGCGGCUUAUCAGCUUGUUGGUGAGGUAGUGGCUUACCAAGGCUUUGACGGGUAGCCGGCCUGAGAGGGUGACCGGCCACAUUGGGACUGAGAUACGGCCCAGACGCCUACGGGAGGCAGCAGUGGGGAAUAUUGCACAAUGGGCGGAAGCCUGAUGCAGCAACGCCGCGUGCGGGAUGACGGCCUUCGGGUUGUAAACCGCUUUCGCCUGUGACGAAGCGUGAGUGACGGUAAUGGGUAAAGAAGCACCGGCUAACUACGUG